rnacentral:lncRNA from 1 species
AGCAUUGUAAUACAUGAUUAAGCAAUUUAACUUUAACUAUUUGUUUUACAGAAUGUCCAAAAGUAACGUUAAAACACCGAUUCGAACAAAAAAACAUUUACUUUUCUCGGUGGUAUCAAAACAGAUUCUUUAGAGGAACCUACUCCUAUGCCACAACUGAAUGUGUUGAAAAGGAUAUUCAUCAUGCAGAUUUACUGGAGCCUAUACACUACCCUUCAGGGCGGAUUGCUUUGAUGUUAGCCGGCGAAGCCACUUCUGACAACUGCACAGGAACUGUUCAUGGAGCACUUAUGUCUGGAGAACUACAAGCAAGCAAAAUAUUAGAGAUUAAUAAAGACUCAUUAUUGGAAAAAUAAAGAAUAAUUCAUCUAUUUAAUUUUCUGUCAAUUUUCCUCACAAAAUAAAUAUUUAAAUUUGA